rnacentral:lncRNA from 1 species
AUAAUAAUGAAUCCACAUUGAACAUUUUCAGCAUGAAGGUUUAUGCCAUUCUGUUCUUAUUUCAGAUUGACAUAUCUGUAGGACAUGCAGUUAGCCUAGACAAAUAGGAAGAGAAAGGUCUUUGAUUCUGAGUUCUCUGUGAAGUUCAAGGUCUUUUUUAGUCUAAAUUAUAAUGGGAAGAUGUGAACGGUAAGUUUGAAAGUUUGAAAUUGUGCAAAAAUAUGUUAUUUUUAACAAAAUGUGCUGUUUCACAAAUAAAAUCCUCUGUCUCUUAGCAAUGCUUAGACACUUAUGUAGCAAUAAGGCCACUAUAUUGGUAUAUGAAAUGAUUGUAAGCUGUAUUUGCUUGACUGGUUAAACUGACCAUGCCUUCAUUUUCAUGGAUCAAGUUUAUGUGAUAUUAUUAAAAAAAAAAAUUUUCAAUCAUAAGUAAAGCAGGCUUAGUUGUUAAUUUAUGUGUCAUUUGGGCUCUUGUGGAGAGUAAAUGUCUCAUUGGCAAUAAUGAAUUAUACCACAUCUUUUUUAUAUGACAUUUGAAUGUUGCAUUUAUAUAUAUAUAUAUAUAUAUAUACAUAUUGCAAUCACUCAUUAGCUGGCCAAUUGUUUAUUAGCAUCCAUGUUCACAAAUAACUACAUUUGUGCAAUAAUGGGAUGAUUUUGUGGCACCAUGUACUUUAACUGUUCUAGAGUAAUGCCCCUUUACAAACAAACAAAAGUGCUGAAUUUUGUUUCCAUUUUCUAACUUUUAUAAGUUUGCCUCUGAACCAAAUGCUAUGAAAUCAAUACACAGCAAUGCUUAUUACCACAAAAUACAGAUCAAGUAUGUAUUAAGGGGGUGGUGUCACUUAACUGUUCUGUAGUUAUGCCCCUUUACAAAUGAAAAAUAUGCUUAUAUUUAUAGUUUCCGUUCUCUAACUUUGAUUUGCCUCAACUAAAUGCAAUUAAACUUAUACACAAUGCUUGUUACCACAAAAUACAGAUCAAGUUUGAAUUUUAAGGGGGUCACUUUAACCGUUCUAGAAUUAUGCCCCUUCACAAAUUGAAUGAUUGCUGAAAUUUUCAUUUCCAUUCACUUACUUUAAUUAGCUUGCCUCAACCAAAUGCUAUGACAUGUAUGAAUAAUUGUACACAAUAUUUAUUACCACAAAAUACAGAUCAAGUUUGACUUUUGAGGUUGUCAUUAAAUUUUUUAGAGUUAUGUCCCUUUGAAAAUGGAAAAAUUGCUGGAUUUGUGUUUCCUUUCUCUAAAUUAAGUUUGCAUAAACUAAAUUUUAUGAAACUUAUACACAAUACCUAUUACCACUAAAUCAGAUCAAGUGUUUUCGGUAGAGUCACUUUUACUGUUCUUCAGUUAUGUCCUUUUAUAACUUUAUAUGAUAUGCAAGCGUGGGCAUCAUCUGUGAUCCAUUGAUACAUUCCCCAUUUAAUUUUUUGUUAAACAUCAAUUUUUUAAUUUUUUGGUUGUCAGAGCUGAUUAAUGCCCCAUUUGUUUGUAGGUAAGAAUUGGUAAAGUAACACACACACAUAUAUAUAUCAAAAAAUGAAAACACCAGAUUAGAAAAAAAAGAUGCAGUAUGAUUGCUAAGGAAACAACUGCCAUAAUAAUUAUAAGAACAAAAUUUAAACAUCAUCAGAGUAUUAAGGCUUCAAUUAUUGAAGAAAACAAAUGACAUACAGUAAGCUAUGAAAGGACCUGUGAUAACAAAUUCAUCUAUUAUCAUGAUUAUAAGACAGAACAAAAUAUGUCGGGGGGGGGGGGGGAAAUCAUGAAUAUUAAUAUGCCUGAAGGACUUUAGAAUAUUGAACUUGAAUUGACUUUUCUUUGUAGGAUACAAAGAAAUCUUGGAGGACAAAUUGGUGCGAGUCUUAAAAGACACAGAUUUGAAGAUAAAUGAAAGAAAAAGAAUGACAAACAUAGUUUAAAGGACUGCAGACUUCCUGAUAUCUUUCAAACUGUUCUUUUGGUAUACAUGGUAUAAAUGUAAUAUUGCAAUAUCAUUUUAUUUGUAUAGGUAUACAUCCUGUAAAUCUUGUUGGUGCCUUUUAGCUCCUUAAAUGCAACCACUAUUUAGUAAACAUUGUCAUGAUUGUUGUUCUAUAUGUGAGCUUAUUAGUUAACUAGAGCAUAGUAAUUGCAUAUAUAUGCAAUCUUAGUCUUUUUAAUUCAGAAAUAAUUUUUAAAACAAGUUAUUCUAAUCAGACUAAUGGAAUUUUAUUUUGUAUGUUUAACCUGUUAUAUGCACUUUGUCAAAUUUAGCAUGUUGCAAAUGUGAUGCAAUAUAGAGCAACCUUUAUAUUUCUUAGAAAAUGCUUUUUCUGAACUGUAAUGAAAAGUAUGGUUAUACAUA